rnacentral:rRNA from 1 species
GACGAACGCUGGCGGCGUGCUUAACACAUGUAAGUCGAACGGAAAGGCCCUGCUUUUGUGGGGUGCUCGAGUGGCGAACGGGUGAGUAACACGUGAGUAACCUGCCCUUGACUUUGGGAUAACUUCAGGAAACUGGGGCUAAUACCGGAUAGGAGCUCCUGCUGCAUGGUGGGGGUUGGAAAGUUUCGGCGGUUGGGGAUGGACUCGCGGCUUAUCAGCUUGUUGGUGGGGUAGUGGCUUACCAAGGCUUUGACGGGUAGCCGGCCUGAGAGGGUGACCGGCCACAUUGGGACUGAGAUACGGACCAGACGGCUACGGGAGGCAGCAGUGGGGAAUAUUGCACAAUGGGCGGACGCCUGAUGCAGCAACGCCGCGUGCGGGAUGACGGCCUUCGGGUUGUAAACCGCUUUCGCCUGUGACGAAGCGUGAGUGACGGUAAUGGGUAAAGAAGCACCGGCUAACUACGUG